UUUUACGUGGAAAAAUUCCACACAAGGGUAUCAAAAAACUACGACCUACAUUUGUAGGCUUUUAACUUCACUAACUUGCAAUUUCACUAUUACAAGCCACUUUGUAAUAACCCUAUUACAAAGACUUCAACUAACUUGUGAUGCUCUCACCAUAAGCCACUUUGUGACUCUUCUAGUUACAAAGACUUUAAACUUAUGACUAAUCCUAGUCACAACAUAAACUCGGAAGUUUAUGGAUUUUUGGUUUUCCUAAGACAUUCUAAGAAAGCAAGAUAGGAGAUACAAUGAAGAACAAAUAACAAGAUUACAACUCAACUAUGGAUAUACAUAAACUCAUUAUAAAAACUGAUCCUUACUGGAGUUGUCUUCUUGUUCCUGACACACCAAUGACUUCAAUGCCGGAUGAACACUGUUAUGCUUGAGAGAAUAUCACUGAAUGCACGAAGAAGUGUUGUGCCUUGCACCAGGUUGUUAUACUAUAAAAGACAUCACAACGGAUGGUGAUGUCAAUUCUUGGUACACGCUUCUUCCCAAUGAGAAGUGACUGCUGCACUGUCUGCUGCACAGUAAUUUUUCUGCAGUUGCGUUCCAGUUGUAAAGUUGACUUGUAUUUCUGUCAGAGAACACUAAGGGACCAGGUCCCUGUCGUGUUCCUCUUUUGUAACAGUUGCGAGAUAGUCACUUUCUGUUGCUACUUUCCAGCUGUACAGUUGACUUGUAUUUCUGUCAGUGAGCCCUAAGGGACCAGGUCCCUGUUGUGUUCCUCUUUGUAAUAGUUGCGGACAGUCACUGACUUGUACUUCUGUCAGAGAACCCUACGGAACCAAGUCACCAGGUCCCUGUUGUGUUCCUCCCUGUGGUUGUUCAUUCAUUUGUUGGAGAUCAAUCUGGACAUUAUGCAUUUGAAAUGUAUACCAUGUGGGUCAGAUUUUCUAUCUGGUUCUUCACAAUAAGUUUAUUAGAUCAUCAAAACAUAAGAAGCAUAAGGCAAAGAUAUUUAAAACCCAUCAAUUUCUCCCUUUUUGAUGAUGACAAACUUAGGGCAUUGAUAGUAUUUAUUUAGUGCAGAAAUAACCAGAUAAGGUACCAAAAACUACACAAGUUCCCCAAACUGCACAAGUUCCCCCUGACCAUUUGCUUUUGAUUCCCCCUUAAACACUAGAUCCCCCUGACCGUUUGCUUUUGAUUCCCCCUUAAACUCAAAUCCCUUAUGACCUUUUCCCCUUUUUGGCAUCAUUAAAAAGAGCGCAAACAGGUAAUUAGCAUAAAGAAGUCUAACACAGCUAACUCAUGCCACAUAUGUGCACACAACAUGACAUAAAAGAGAAGACAGAGGAACAAAACAUUGUACAGGCAAAAAGAGGAGCUAUUUCAUUAAUAUUAACAAUGGACUGAGCAAAAAGAAAAAAACAACAACAAAAUAUUAGAGAAAAAAUAGCUGGCAGCUGAGAGGAUCCUAGGGGACACUAGAAGAAAGAGGUUUGGAAGAAGAGGCAACAAUGGUUUUGAGAACCAGGUCCAGUCGAGCAUUUGCAGACAGUUGUUCUUCAAGCAAUUUUGCCCGAAGCUUAUCAUUUUCCUUUGUCAGUCGGGCAACUUCUUCAUUAACAGAAUCAGGUCCUUUAACUGCUUGACUGAGCUGAGUUUCCAGUAUGGCAUUUUGGCCCUCAACCUUCUGAUCUCUUUAGAAGCUAAAUUUUGAGAGUUGUUCAGCUGAGAAAUUGUCACACCCCGAACCUAGGGAGGCGUGGCUGGCACCCGAUGUCGUACCGGCCCGAGUGAACCAUUCUAUAACUCAUUCUUUCUGUGACCAUCGUGGGCCAACAUGGCAACAACUCGUAGUGCCUAACUGUAAGUGGGUAACAUUGUAUCAAUAAACUAUCAUUCUUAAGACAUAAAUACAUACGGGCUGUCAAGGCCUCUAACAUACUGUACAAACUGAACCUUUGUCUACAAAGCCUCUAAGAUUAUUUAACAUCAAUGGGAUAGGUUAUCGGCCUACCCAUAAGUCUGAAAUAAAACUCUGACGCGAUGGCUCAUAGAUCCGACUGCACUUCGAAUGAGGUGGAGUCUUAUCGAUCUUUCGCUGAAUGCUAAUCUCGUCUACAAAAUUCAUCAAAUUGAUUACUUAUACCUAUGAAUGCAGUGUCCACAAUAAAAGGAUGUCAAUACGAACAAUGUACCGAGUAUGUAAGGCAUGUAAAUCGAUAUAUAAAGGACAUGAAAGAAACAUGGAGUACAUGACUGUGUAAGUAUGGAUAAUUCUGUAUAUCAUUUAAUACUUAUAGUGUCAUGCAUAUGCGCAUGAAUGUCAUGUCGUGCAUAGGUAUAUGUGUUCAUGACAUCAUCAAGCCUCUGAGGGCAUUCCAUCAUAUCAGCUCAGCCACUGUAGACAAAAUAAUCAUCGUGUACCAACUGAUCAGGUGGUGGUGCGUAUAUAACGCCAUAACCUUUCCCAUAUCCCAUAUACAUAUAUAUACGCGUAUAUAACUCCAUAACAUCAUCAUGCCUCUCAGGGCAUCCCAUCAUAUCAUCUUGGUCACUGUGGGCAAAUUAUCAACGUAUAUCAGUUGAUCAAAUAGUGGUGCGUAUAUAACGCCAUAACCUUUCCCAUAUCCCAUAUAUAUAUAUAUAUACGCGUACAUAACGUCAUCUGGUCAUGGGUCGAUGUGCAUGUAUAAAUGCAUGAAAUGCAUUAAUAAAAUCUUUCAGUAUGUCGUAAGACCAUUAUACCUCUGAUUAAUAUCAUGAAACGAACUUUAUCAACUUACGUAUUUUCUAAGACCCAUAAACAGAUGAUAGAAUAAUAAGACAUAUGGGAAUUCAAGAGCAUAGACAUCUCUAAUAACAGAAGCAAACACGUACCUAGACAACUAUAUCACUUGCAUCAACAGCAUAAGCCUGGAUAGCUAUAUCACUUGCAUCGAUAGCAUAAACCUUCCUAAUACUGUAUUCCAAACUUAGCGAAGUGUAUAUCUGGUGUAUGAAAAGGCGGCGUAAAUAUGUUGUAUACUACUCUUUGCUGAUUCAGAGCUCACGCAAUUAGCUUCACUACCUUUGGUUUUUUCUUUGUUGUAUCUUUCGGAGGAAUUAACCCUUUCAGUAGGAGUUGUGUCACACCUCCUUUUUACCUACACCCCCGUAAAGGGAUGUAUAAGGGAGUUUUUUCAAUUAAAGGACAAUCGAAACAUGAUUUAUUUAUUAAAAGAUUCAGAGUCGCCACUUGGGAAAUUUAUGGCGUCCCAAGUCACCGGUUCAAAUCCCGAAUCGAGGAAAAGAUUGACUCUGUAUUACAGUCCGCGAACCAGAAAUCCGGGUAAGAAAUUUUGUUAACCCGGGAGAAGGUAUUAGGCAUUCCCGAGUUCUGUGGUUUUAGCACGAUCGCUCAACUGAUAUUAUUGGCCUAUUAUCUGAUUUUAGAACAUUUUGAACCUAUGUGCAUUUUAACUUUAUAACCGCUUUUAUUCAUUUUUAGGAAGAUUUCAAUGUUAUACAAAACACGACUUUGGAUCACGCCACAUGAAAUGCACCUGCAAUCCGAGACAUAUUUUAUUUAACGUUGUUAGGAUUUCGGAUUAGGGUCACAUGAAAUGCACACCCGAAAUUAGGAAGGUAAUAUUAUUAAAAUAACGCGCCUAAAGCAACUACGCGUUUUUAACUUUGCGAGGGCCAUAGAAAAUUUGCUAAAUGGCAUGCCUCGAUUUCUAAGGAUAAAAAAGAUUAUUUAAAAUGAGGGCCAUGCAUUUUGAGGUCUAAUUUGAUACGGCACGCCUCGAUUUUAAUUUUAAAAUAGUGUAUUCAACUAAAGCCAAUCACGGAUGUUCCUAAUUAUUUUCCUAAAUUUGAUAUUAUUGCCAAGAGUUGUGGAGAUUAAUUGUGACCUAUGGGUAAGCCUCAAACUGAUUUAAUCAUAAUUAAACAUUUUCCAAAAUCUAACAGAUCUCAGUCACUAAAACAAAUGCUAACUAAUCACUCAAAAUAACGUCACUUAAUAUUACUAAAGAAAACAAAUACAAAGAUACUACAUGAAACACGUUUCAUCAUUUGAACAAACAAACUUUCCAUGAAAUAGUUGGCAAUUAACUCCAUGCAUUCAAACUCUUCACUUAAUCGUGUAAUUAAAAUCGGAUAUCAAGUGCUAUGAAAAACACAUCAUCACACUUUCAACAAAGAAAUCAGCGAAGUAGCUCAACAGGGCUCCAACCGUGUGGCAAAAUAUUUAACAAAACAUUAAGGUCAAUUAAUUAACACAGAUCUACGAAAAUCAUGCAAUUAUCAGAAUUAUAUUUCACUCAUCACAGCUUGAAUGAUUAAACAAAUAUCAACAUUUAGAGCCGAAAUCGAAAUCAGAACAACGAACGGACCUCAAAACAAAGCAAUUUUUGAAUAUGAAAAUACUUAACACUGGAAACCUUUGACAGAGACAACCUCGACGGAACCGCAAAUCUGCCCGGAAACCUCAUAUUACGACCUUCGACGAACUCGAAACUCGCCAGUAAACUUGAAUUAAACCAAAACUCGCCGGAAAAUAACUGGAGGACGUUUGGGGUGGGGUCUUUCUGGUGUUCUCUGUUUGACAAAGAGAGCCGGGGUCGUUUGUGCGAGUUGCUGCUGCUAGGUUUUUGGGGUGUCGAUGAGAUGGAGAUCCAAUGGGGUUGGGUCUGCGAAGAAAACGAGGAGGGGGAAGGGGUCGGCCCCUAUUGAAAAGCUGCGCCUGUCAGCCCCCUUUUCAGAUGCCUCUUUCCUUUUUCUUUGAUUUUGUUUUUGCCUAGAUCUCUCUUCAGGCGUUUUUUUUAUCCCCCCAGCUCAUUGUAGGCAUUACCUAUAAUAUAGGGUCUAAGUUUUAAGUGUAUUUUUGUGUAUUUACCAAUUAGUCCCUAGGUCCUUUUGUGUUAAGUCCUUAGGGCCUUUUUA
rnacentral:lncRNA from 1 species